GCUCUUGCAGUGUUCUCCCCGCAGGUGCUGCAUGGAGUGAGUGGCGGCAUCCACCGUGAGGAGGAGAGGAGCUCUGAUACCCUCAGGACCCGCCAGGAGGGGCAUCACGGAGGCUUCUGGACGACUUGGAGCUGUGUCCUGGGGAGAAAACCGCUCCUGUCUGGGCCCUGAGUGCUGAGGAGGAAGCUGCCAUGCACUUUUCCCUGGCAUUUUUCCUGCAUGGAGAGAGAGGUCCAAGGUGCCCUACAUCGUGCGUCAGUGCGUGGAGGAGAUCGAGCGCCGAGGCAUGGAGGAGGUGGGCAUCUACCGCAUGUCUGGGGUGGCCGCAGACAUCCAGGCACUGAAGGCAGGCUUCAACGUCAAUAACAAGGACGUGUCAGUGAUGAUGAGCGAGAUGGACGUGAACGCCAUCGCAGGCAUGCUGAAGCUGUACUUCCGUGAGCUGCCCGAGCCCCUCUUCACUGACGAGUUCUACCCCAACUUCGCAGAGGGCAUCGCUCUUUCAGACCCAGUUGCAAAGAAGAGCUGCAUGCUCAACCUGCUGUCGUCCCUGCCGGAGGCCAACCUGCUCACCUUCCUUUUCCUUCUAGACCACCUGGAAAGGAUGGCAGAGAAGGAGGCAGUCAAUAAGAUGUCCCUGCACAACCUUGGCACGGUGUUUGGCCCCACGCUGCUCCGGCCCUCCGAGAAGGAGAGCAAGCUCCCUGCCAACCCCAGCCAGCCCAUCACCAUGACUGACAGCUGGUCCUUGGAGGUCAUGUCCCAGGUCGAGGUGCUGCUGUACUUCUUGCGGCUGGAGGCCAUCCCUGCCCUGGACAGCAAGGGACAGAGCAUCCUGUUCUCCACCGAUGUCUAAAGGUCCCAGUCCAUCUCCUGGAGGCGGACAGACGGCCUGGAAACCUCUGGCUAAUCAGGCCAUCUGUAGAGUGGGAAUCAAGAUUUUCUGAGGCAUCCUUGGGCCACCCCCAGGUGUCAGGCCAUCUGCCAAGAGACAGCGGCCCAAAGCAGAAGGACAGGUGGCCUGGGCAGAUCCCGCCCAGGUCUGAAAGCCCCAGGCUGGCCUCAGACUGUGGGUUUUUUAUGUGGCCACCCGAGGGCGCCCCAAACCAGUUCAUCUCGGAGUCCAGGCCUGGCCCUGGGAGACAGGGUGAAAGCAGUGGUUUUUAUGAACUUAACUUAUAGAGUCCAAAAGAUUUCUACUGAAUCACUUGUCAAGAAGCGCCCUCUCUGGGGAGAAGGGAACGUGACUGGAUUCCCUCACUGUUGUAUCUUGAAUAAACGCUGCUGCUUCAUCCUGUGGGGGCCAUGGCCCUGUCCCUGUGUGGGUGGGGCCUCUUCCAUUUCCCUGACUUAGAAACCACAGUCCACUUAGAACAGGGUUUGAGAGGCUUGGUCAGCACUGGGUAGCGUUUUGACUCCAUUCUUGGCUUUCUUCUUUUUCUUCCCAGAGGGAUUUUUGUGCAGAAAUGGGUCUUUUGUUGCCGUGUUAGUCCUCCUUGGAAGGCAGCUCAGAAGGCCCGUGAAACGUCGGGGGACAGGACCCCCAGGGAGGGAAUCCCAGGCUACGCACUUUAGGGUUCGUUCUCCAGGGAGAGCGACCUCGUCCCCCGAUCCUGACCGCCCUUCCGGCCCACGCUCUCCUGUUUGGCUUCCACAGGCCUGGACUUCUCUGGCUUCUCUGCCCACACACUCCCUGCCCCCAGUGUCCCUGCCCCUGCCCCAGCACAGGUGACUUCAUUUCUGUCCUCUCAGCUCAGUGGACUCGCUCAACUUUUGUAUAAGUCUCCACUUGGUGGUAGCAGCUUGCUGAUGACUUGUUUUAAAACUUUCAUCCUAAAUAACCUUUUGAUACU
rnacentral:lncRNA from 1 species